rnacentral:miRNA from 10 species
CCGGAUGCCUACUGGUAUUAGG